AUGGAUUUUUAUAAAGGGGUUAGGUAUAGUGCUGGCUUUUUGGCAAGUGCACAUCCUUCCCUGAUCAUCCACUUUUACCACUGUGAACCUUUAGUAGGGCUGGAAACGGCUCUAUGUUUUUUUACACACCAUGUAUAACCUUUGAAUGUCUUUUUUACUUUCAAGUAUGCUCGCAAGGGCAGAAAGAAAAUAAAUAAAAAAUAAUA
rnacentral:misc_RNA from 1 species